rnacentral:rRNA from 1 species
GUGGGGAAUUUUGGACAAUGGGCGCAAGCCUGAUCCAGCCAUUCCGCGUGCAGGAUGAAGGCCUUCGGGUUGUAAACUGCUUUUGUACGGAACGAAAAGCCUCUGGUUAAUACCCGGGGGUCAUGACGGUACCGUAAGAAUAAGCACCGGCUAACUACGUGCCAGCAGCCGCGGUAAUACGUAGGGUGCGAGCGUUAAUAGGAAUUACUGGGCGUAAAGCGUGCGCAGGCGGUGAUGUAAGACAGUUGUGAAAUCCCCGGGCUCAACCUGGGAACUGCAUCUGGGACUGCAUUGCUGGAGUGCGGCAGAGGGGGAUGGAAUUCCGCGUGUAGCAGUGACAUGCGUAGAUAUGCGGAGGAACACCGAUGGCGAAGGCAAUCCCCUGGGCCUGCACUGACGCUCAUGCACGAAAGCGUGGGGAGCAAACAGGAUUAGAAACCCUUGUAGUCC